rnacentral:lncRNA from 1 species
GCAGCUACAUAACAUAGGGAAAAUAAGACAUGGAUUCUUGCGUCACUUCCGAUAAAGCUGGCAUGUGCGCCCCACUCUGAAACCCAAGCGAACCGGACACCAAACUCUAUAAAACCCACCGUAUAAAUCUCCAUUCCUCUCUCUCUCUCUCUCCUUCUGCACCGUCACAUGACGCGAAAACCUGCAACCCCCACUCCUCUCUCUCUCUGACACAAGGAAAUAAACAUAUAAAACAAAAGAAUACAGGUCAACUUACGCAGAGCGUGCUGCUAUGGAGUUAGAGAGAAAGUUAGAGAGAGAGGAGGGAAGACGAACUAACACAACAGUCGCAGCAACCUAGCUUAAAUCAGGCAAGUUUUUCUUUCCUGUACUUCCACUUGUGUUUGGAAAGAGAUGGGUUUCCAUUUUUGUUGAGGGAGAGGGAGAGGAGAAGAUGGAGGUCUCUUAGCAUGAAGAGAGACCAGAAACAAGGGAAGAUGGGAAAAUGUAAGGAUAAUACAGUGAUGGGGCUUCGGAUGAUCCAAUGUGGGCGGCAGACCGUCCAUGUUAUACAGCCGGACGGGCAGGUGAGGCAGUUCCCUCUCCCCAUUAAAGUCUCAAACCUCCUCCAACUCUACCCCCACCAUUUCCUCACCCACGCAUCAAAUAACACCACCAAACAAAGGAACACCACCAGUAGUGGCGGAGGGCCAAUGCUCCCCCUCGAUGCUCACUUGGAGAGCGGAAGCAUCUACAUACUUCUCCCCCUACCACGCCUCUUCCCCGCCCUCUCCCCCCCUUCCAACGAGCCACACCUCUGCUGCUGCGCCUGCUUCCUACCGCACUUCCAAUCCAACAGUGGCACUGGAGGCAUUGGGUUGAUAAAGUCUGAGCUCAAGCGCCACUGGCUCAGCGCCACCACCUCAUCCUCCAAGAUCUCACCUGAAGAACACUACGCUUCCGGCGUCGCCAGAAAGGACACCGCCGCUCCGUGCCAGCCGAGAAGGCUCUGGGAGCCCGCACUCGAUGUAAUCUCGGAGGAACGGGCACUCCUCUCCACCCGAGAAGAGGAAGAGGCAGCCGCUGCCAGAAGAGAGAAAGAGAGAAAGGAAAAAGCCGCCAAAGUAAAUAACAAUAAUAAUAAUGUAAAUAAUAAUACGGCUGCCACCGACACCACCACCACCACCACCACCACCACCACCACCAGCAGCAGCAGCAGCAGCAGCAGCAGCAGCAAGAAGCUGCCCGGCAAUGCCGCCGGAGAACAACAAGGCAGCGUUGUGUUUAAACUAGGGACUUAAAACUAGGCUUGGGCUUGGGCUUCAUUGUUAGACCUGGGCUUUGUUUACGUGUUGGGUCGGGUUACGUGCGUUAGGUGUCCACAUCAUUGUGAUGGAUGGGCCCGGGCUUGCACCUCAAUCGUGUCCUUCAGAUUGGUUGUACGGCCUCUCUCUCUCCAUCCAUCUUAUGAUUUCUUUUUCUUAAUGUUUUGAGAGAGAGAGAGAAGGAGACAGGAAUGGACACAGUCAUGUCAUGUCAUGUCAUGUCAUGGUCUUCACUCUCCACUGUGUAUAUCAUGCAUGUCGUCCUCAUAUAAUUGAAUUAUUAUUGUCCUUGUUAUUAUUAGAGAGUAGUUUAAUUUAAGCAGUUGUGUUCUUAAUUGGGAUGGUUUUGUUUCAAUGUUUGUUUUGUAUUGGGGAGGUUUGGUGAAAUAAUAAUAAAUAAUAUUGAUGGGGGAUCACAUGUGGGCACAUGGGGUUUUAAAAUCCGGACACAGCCCACAUGCCACAUGAUUGAGGAACC